GCAAUACACACGCACGCGUUCUGAGAACAACUCCUGCGCGCUUCGUGAUUCGAAAAUUGAUUGCGCGCGCGCCUGUGAGCUUGCAACUGUGUGCGUAACAUCACGCCGUGCACACGACACUCGCUACGUGUGCGUGACAAUUGUACACAUGUGUGAAAACAUGUGCGUAUGUGAUUUAUGAACGGACGACACUGGAUUCGGUAGUCUAGGGUGAAUUGACGAUUUUUGAGUGCCGUUUUGUGAGUUUGUUGAUCAAGUGUUUCGUGAAGUUUUGUGUUUUUUGAUAGUUUUUGUGUGUGGUCUACUCAUUCGCAUUACAUUCAGGGUACCCGCCGGUAGAAUAUACAAUGCAAACUAAAAACAUAAACCUCAGCCAAGACCAAAGAAGCAAAGAGUGUAACGACAAAAUGGGCCGCCAAGGGUUGUCAGACACAGACAGGUCAACGGCUCAGGCUGCCUUGCCUAACCAAAUCACGGCCUCGACCAUCGGUUCCACGUAUUG